GACGAACGCUGGCGGCGUGCCUAAUACAUGCAAGUAGAACGCUGAAGGAGGAGCUUGCUCUUCUGGAUGAGUUGCGAACGGGUGAGUAACGCGUAGGUAACCUGCCUGGUAGCGGGGGAUAACUAUUGGAAACGAUAGCUAAUACCGCAUAACAGUAGAUGUUGCAUGACAUUUACUUAAAAGGUGCAAUUGCAUCACUACCAGAUGGACCUGCGUUGUAUUAGCUAGUUGGUGGGGUAACGGCUCACCAAGGCGACGAUACAUAGCCGACCUGAGAGGGUGAUCGGCCACACUGGGACUGAGACACGGCCCAGACUCCUACGGGAGGCAGCAGUAGGGAAUCUUCGGCAAUGGACGGAAGUCUGACCGAGCAACGCCGCGUGAGUGAAGAAGGUUUUCGGAUCGUAAAGCUCUGUUGUAAGAGAACAACGAGUGUGAGAGUGGAAAGUUCACACUGUGACGGUAUCUUACCAGAAAGGGACGGCUAACUACGUG
rnacentral:rRNA from 1 species